rnacentral:snRNA from 1 species
GUAAGUAGUCCAGAAAAGGA